GACGAACGCUGGCGGCGUGCUUAACACAUGCAAGUCGAACGGAAAGGCCCUGCUUUUGUGGGGUGCUCGAGUGGCGAACGGGUGAGUAACACGUGAGUAACCUGCCCUUGACUUUGGGAUAACUUCAGGAAACUGGGGCUAAUACCGGAUAGGAGCUCCUGCUGCAUGGUGGGGGUUGGAAAGUUUCGGCGGUUGGGGAUGGACUCGCGGCUUAUCAGCUUGUUGGUGGGGUAGUGGCUCACCAAGGCUUUGACGGGUAGCCGGCCUGAGAGGGUGGCCGGCCACAUUGGGACUGAGAUACGGCCCAGACUCCUACGGGAGGCAGCAGUGGGGAAUAUUGCACAAUGGGCGGAAGCCUGAUGCAGCAACGCCGCGUGCGGGAUGACGGCCUUCGGGUUGUAAACCGCUUUCGCCUGUGACGAAGCGUGAGUGACGGUAAUGGGUAAAGAAGCACCGGCUAACUACG
rnacentral:rRNA from 1 species